rnacentral:rRNA from 1 species
UACGGAGGGAGCUAGCGUUGUUCGGAAUUACUGGGCGUAAAGCGCACGUAGGCGGCUUUGUAAGUUAGAGGUGAAAGCCCGGGGCUCAACCCCGGAAUUGCCUUUAAGACUGCAUGGCUUGAAUCCGGGAGAGGUGAGUGGAAUUCCGAGUGUAGAGGUGAAAUUCGUAGAUAUUCGGAAGAACACCAGUGGCGAAGGCGGCUCACUGGACCGGUAUUGACGCUGAGGUGCGAAAGCGUGGGGAGCGAACAGG